UUUUAAAAAUUUCAUUCAUAUGUACUGUUAAAAAUUGACGUGGUUGGUAGAAUAAUCAAAUAGUGACAUAUGACGUGCUAUGUGUACCUUGUGCCAACGUAUAGGGAUCAAUUUUUAACAAAAAAAAUAAAUGAAUUUUUUUUACAG
rfam:Gossypium arboreum cultivar AKA8401 contig_13731_5, whole genome shotgun sequence.